AUGCAACUUUCCUGCGUGGUGGCUGGGACACUUGUUAGGCACUUGUGGGCUGGGGAUGGUUCCCGUUCACUGCGCGAACCUGCGACUCAAAGCCGUGUCCCGGCUGGAAUGCGCGGGCGGUGCAGACGCUGCUGCCACCACCCGCGGCUCGUACGGGACAUUGCCCUGCGUGCCGAGGAAAGGUUGAGUCUGCCUUGCUCUCAGGUACCGGCUUCCAUGUGCAAGACAACAUAUGAGGAGCUCAGUGUGGGACCCUUAAAGCAGAUUGUGACAUAGACUUUGGCUGUAUUUUUCACAACUGCUGAAGCUAGAAAUCCAAGCGGAUGCCUGUGCCACCACCGCCGCCACCACCUCCUCCUCCACCACCUCCACCACCUUCUGGAGGGCCCCCUCCACCACCACCACCACUGGUAAGACUGACUUUUAUUUCUAUGGGCAAAAGCUUAGCUGUAGCAGCCACCUUAGAGCCCACAGGAUUUUGGCAUGGAUAUUCAUAGCAAAUAUCUGAGGCAGAUGUUUGUUUUGCUGGCGCUGGUUCUUCUGUUCAUUACAGCAGUGGUCUCCAAAGUGGGGUGUGUGGGAUGAUCCGUUGGUGUGUGGGAUAAAAAUACUGGAACCUCAGUCAUACAUGUGUAUACUUUAUAAAGAAAUAAACCUAUGUAUAUUGGCAUGCGUGCUCAAAAAUUUUAUUGCUAGGAGUGCACGAUGAAAAAGUUUUGAGAUUAUUAGAGUGCAUAUGGUGAAAAUAUAGCAUUUGUGAAUACUUUUCCAGCCAAAGGGAAUUCAUUUUUGUAUUGGUAAUAUACAGAUGGUAAGUAUUAAUUUCUCCAUCCUUCUUACAGCUCCUAUUAAGACUCACAGUGUGCAGCCGUACAUUUUGCCCUUUCUAGCACACUGUAUCUUCCUGGGGAUACAGCACAAUAUUCUUUUGUACAUGUGCAGGAACAAUUACAGCUUGUAACAGAUCAUUACUGUAUGUGUCAUGAAGUAGAACAUGUGCCUUGCCAGCAUGUUUGCAAUAAGAGGAGGAUGUUCUGGGUGAACUUUCAGGGUAUUACAUUUUCAUACCUUCACAAUCAAUUAUUGUACCUAUGGUAAAACCUAUUUAAGUAAUUCCUUGAAUUCUAUGAUUAGUUGAUCAUAACCUGUUUCUGCAUUGAAAUUCUUAGACUUUUUUUGAAAGAGUGGAACCUGGCACAGUUGUGUUCAAGUCAUAAAAUCUCUCCUGAUUUUUUUUCAUGUAUUUUUCUGUCACU
rnacentral:lncRNA from 1 species